CUACGGGUCGCACCAGUGGGGAAUAUUGCACAAUGGAGGAAACUCUGAUGCAGCAACGCCGCGUGGAGGAUGACACUUUUCGGAGCGUAAACUCCUUUUAUAUAGGAAGAAGAUGACGGUACUAUAUGAAUAAGCGCCGGCUAACUCCGUGCCAGCAGCCGCGGUAAUACGGAGGGCGCAAGCGUUACUCGGAAUCACUGGGCGUAAAGAGCGUGUAGGCGGAUUAAAAAGUCAGAAGUGAAAUCCUAUAGCUUAACUAUAGAACUGCUUCUGAAACUCUUAAUCUAGAAUAUGGGAGAGGUAGAUGGAAUUUCUGGUGUAGGGGUAAAAUCCGUAGAGAUCAGAAGGAAUACCGAUUGCGAAGGCGAUCUACUAGAACAUUAUUGACGCUGAGACGCGAAAGCGUGGGGAGCAAACAGGAUUAGAUACCCCCGUAGUC
rnacentral:rRNA from 1 species